rnacentral:tRNA from 1 species
GCCUGGGUGGCUCAGUAGGUUAAGCAUUUGACUUUGUUUCAGGUCAUGAUCUUGUGGUUCGUGGGUUCAAGUCCCACCUCAGGCU